rnacentral:rRNA from 1 species
AUUGAACGCUGGCGGCAUGCCUAACACAUGCAAGUCGAACGGCAGCACAGCACGUAGCAAUACAUGCGGGUGGCGAGUGGCGGACGGGUGAGUAACGCGUGGGAAUCUGCCCUAUAGUGGGGGACAACCCGACGAAAGUCGGGCUAAUACCGCAUACGCCUACGGGGAAAGGGCUUCGGCCGCUAUUGGAUGAGCCCGCGUCGGAUUAGCUAGUUGGUGAGGUAAUGGCUCACCAAGGCGACGAUCCGUAGCUGGUCUGAGAGGACGAUCAGCCACACUGGGACUGAGACACGGCCCAGACUCCUACGGGAGGCAGCAGUGGGGAAGUAUUGCACAAUGGGCGAAAGCCUGAUGCAGCAAUGCCGCGUGUGUGAAGAAGGGCCUGCGGGUUGUAAAGCACUUUCGGUAGGGAAGAUAAUGACGGUACCUACAGAAGAAGCACCGGCUAACUCCGUGCCAGCAGCCG